GAAGUAGAGAGUUAAAUGGACAUUUUGGUUGAUUUUAGCUCUUUCUGAUGCUUAAUGUUUCAUUUUUCUUUCAUGAACCACCCGCAGUAUUGCUAAUUAGCUACAUGUUUCAGAAAAUCUAUAUUUUUGUCUCAGAGAACCAAAGAUAGAAGAGAUGGAGGAGACUCGCAGCCCACAGUUGGUGUUUUUUUCUUCUUAUUCUUUUCUUUUUGUGUAGAUGCUGAGGUGAUUCUUGCUGCUGACUCCGGGUCAGUCUGAAAAAUGUUAAGGAUUAUUAACCUUUGAAUUUGUAAGAUGCUUUGAUAUCCAGGCUGAAUUUGUUAUUCCCCCUCUCUUCGGGUGCAGUAUCAAACAUUUGCAUUGUGACUGGUCAAUCCUCAGCGUAAAGACAAGUAACCUAGUUGUGAUACACAUUCGCUCGCCUCUGCUACGGAGUUGUAUUCUUGUCGUCUUCGCCGUGCACGCGCCUCCCCCCGGUGCCGAGAUGAGUCCCUGGUUCCAGUACAUGCUGGCUGUGCUGCAGUUUGACAUCGCGCUCAAGAUGAUCAAUCAGAUUGGUAAGGGCAGCGCGGCGCGGCGGUCGUACCUUUUUUAACAACAAAAAACGAUACAAGCCCGAGGCUCCUCGUCUUCUUGCUGCAGAAGUCUUAAUAAAACGGAAUCUCGUCUGCAGAAGAUGGCGAUGUCCUCGUCACUAUCGACGCUGGCUUGGCGUACGGGGACGCUCUGACGUCCGAGUGGACUACGAAGUCUCACUUAGCCGAAGGCUCGGAGAAUGCAUUAUGAGGUCAGUGAGGGUCCCUGGCACUGGGGGGACUACAGGCUCCAGGUCCACAGUGCUUUCCUCACGGGGGUCUAUGGCAUGUGGAACCUGUAUGUGUUCACCAUCGUCUUCCUCUAUGUGCCCUCCCACAAGCAAACCAACAACACACAAACAAACAAAACAAAAAAACGUAACAUUUUUACUUCAGAGUGAGAAUGAUACAAAAUCCUGUGAAGAAAGUGGCAGGGGAAAAGAAGUCUGGGGGAUCUAUUUAAAAAAAAGUUUAAUCUAAAUAGUUUUCUUUUCUGUAUUUAGGACUUUAUAACAGGAUCAUUUAUUUUGUGUAUAGUUGAGAUUCUCAUUUUAACAAAAAGUUCCCUAACGGCAGACUGGGAUACAUUUCUUGACAAAAAUAAAUCUGCCAACAGAUAAUAUAUGAACAAUGUGUUUAAAGUGUGCAGAGAUUAAAUACUCAACUGGAAGAAAACAUGAAUGCUUUUAUUUCAAAAUAUUUUAAAUAUGGUGUACACAAGGUGCUUGUGGUCAAUAUGAGUAUUACAACAACAAACACAAAAAUCUAUGACUGGCGUCCUUUUUGCUUAAGAGUGCUGCAUGAAUGGGUUUUCAAACGGGUUAGUGGUAUGUUUAUAUAUUUAGAGCUAUGUGUGUAUAACAACCAGUCAGAGGUAUGUGUGUAUAACAACCUGUCAGGUAUGUGUGUAUAACAACCAGUCAGAGGUAUGUGUGUAUAACAACCAGUCAGAGGUAUGUGUGUUAUAACAACCAGUCAGGUAUGUGUGUUAUAACAACCAGUCAGGUAUGUGUGUAUAACAACCAGUCAGAGCUAUGUGUUUUAUAACAACCAGUCAGUCAGAGGUAUGUGUGUUAUAACAACCAGUCAGAGGUAUGUGUGUAUAACAACCAGUCAGAGGUAUGUGUGUAUAACAACCAGUCAGGUAUGUGUGUUAUAACAACCAGUCAGUCAGAGGUAUGUGUUAUAACAACCAGUCAGAGGUAUGUGUGUUAUAACAACCAGUCAGUCAGAGCUGUUUCUGUUAUAACAACCAACGUGUUAGUCAUUUACAAGAAUAAACAAAUGACUCUAAAUGAAAUGUGGGGCAAGUUAUGUUCAAAUCACAAAAUGUAAAAAAACCCAAUUUCACUUGGACCAUUUAUACAAAUUAAAAAAUCAAUUACG